UUCGCUGGAAAAUGGAUGGAACUAGAACAGAUCGUGCUGAGUGAGACAAGCCAAGAACAGAGUCAAACAGUGGAUGGUCUCCCUGAUACCAGGGUGUUAGAAUUAAAAUGCAAAGAGACAGAACAAAGUAAACAGGUCUCAAGAUACCAAAACUCAGUAAAAAGCAGAGGACACAGAAUGAGUGGAGAGUGUGUGAGAAUAGUAAUAAGAGAACAGGAGGAGAAUAUGGCUUACAAUUGAC